GCUGGUGUGCUCAGUGGUUAGAGCAUCAGCCUGCAGACCACAGGGUCACAGGUUCAAUUCCUGGUCAAGGGCA
rfam:Myotis davidii contig106427, whole genome shotgun sequence.